rnacentral:rRNA from 1 species
UACGGAGGGCGCGAGCGUUAAUCGGAAUUACUGGGCGUAAAGCGCGCGUAGGCUGUUGUGUAAGUUGGGGGUGAAAUCCCACGGCUCAACCGUGGAACAGCCCUUGAUACUGCGCGACUUGAAUCCGGGAGAGGGUGGCGGAAUUCCUAGUGUAGCGGUGAAAUGCAUAGAUAUCACGCAGAACUCCGAUUGCGAAGGCAGCAUACCGGCGCCCUACUGACGCUGGGGCACGAAAGCGUGGGUAUCGAACAGG